rfam:Heterocephalus glaber contig131713, whole genome shotgun sequence.
UAGGGUAUAGCUCAGUUUGUAGAGUGCUUGCCUACCAUGUAUAAUUUUCUGGGUUUGAGUCCCAGUGUCAUAA